rnacentral:rRNA from 1 species
GUGGGGAAUAUUGGACAAUGGGCGAAAGCCUGAUCCAGCCAUGCCGCGUGAGUGAUGAAGGCCCUAGGGUUGUAAAGCUCUUUCACCGGUGAAGAUAAUGACGGUAGUCGGAGAAGAAGCCCCGGCUAACUUCGUGCCAGCAGCCGCGGUAAUACGAAGGGGGCUAGCGUUGUUCGGAUUUACUGGGCGUAAAGCGCACGUAGGCGGUUUGUUAAGUCAGAGGUGAAAUCCAGGAGCUCAACUCCGGAACUGCCUUUGAUACUGGCAAGCUAGAGUCCGGAAGAGGUAAGUGGAACUCCUAGUGUAGAGGUGGAAUUCGUAGAUAUUAGGAAGAACACCAGUGGCGAAGGCGGCUUACUGGUCCGGAACUGACGCUGAGGUGCGAAAGCGUGGGGAGCAAACAGGAUUAGAAACCCGUGUAGUCC